ACCCCACUGCUAUCGGGAUGGGACUAAGACAUGCUAGUCGAGCGUCUCCAAGCUAUGGAAGAGACGCGGCACACAGCUCAGUAACACGUGGCUAACCUGCCCUUGGGACAAGGACAACCCCGGGAAACUGGGGCUAAUCCCUGAUAGGUGAGAGCUCCUGGAAUGGAUUCUCGCUGAAAGGACGUUUAGACCAUGCUUCUAGGCGUCGCCCAAGGAGGGGGCCGCGACCGAUCAGGUUGUUGGUGAGGUAACGGCUCACCAAGCCUUUAACCGGUACGGGCCGUGAGAGCGGAAGCCCGGAGAUGGGCACUGAGACAAGGACCCAGGCCCUACGGGGCGCAGCAGUCGCGAAAACUCCGCAAUACACGAAAGUGUGACGGGGCUAUCCCGAGUGCCAUCCGCUGAGGAUGGCUUUUCCCCAGUGUAUAAAGCUGGGGGAAUAAGGAGAGGGCAAGCCUGGUGUCAGCCGCCGCGGUAAUACCAGCUCUCCGAGUGGUGGGGAUGUUUAUUGGGCCUAAAGCAUUCGUAGCCUGCUUGGCAAGUCCUCCGUUAAAUCCAACGAUUCAAUCGUUGGGCUGCGGGGGAUACUGUCCGGCUAGGGGGCGGGAGAGGCCGACGGUAUCCCCGGGGUAGGGGUGAAAUCCUAUAAUCCCGGGAGGACCACCAGUGGCGAAGGCUGUCGGCUAGAACGUGCUCGACGGUGAGGGAUGAAAGCUGGGGGAGCGAACCGGAUUAGAUACCCGGGUAGUCCCAGCUGUAA
rnacentral:rRNA from 1 species